GACGUAGGGAGCGAGCGUUGUCCGGAUUCAUUGGGCGUAAAGGGUCCGUAGGCGGCUCAGCAAGUCAGGUGUGAAAUCUCCAGGCUCAACCUGGAGGGGCCACCUGAUACUGCUGUGGCUUGAGUCCAGUAGGGGAGCAUGGAAUUCCCGGUGUAGCGGUGAAAUGCGCAGAUAUCGGGAGGAACACCAGUGGCGAAGGCGGUGCUCUGGGCUGGAACUGACGCUGAUGGACGAAAGCGUGGGUAGCAAA
rnacentral:rRNA from 1 species